GAGUUUGAUCCUGGCUCAGGACGAACGCUGGCGGCGCGCCUAACACAUGCAAGUCGAACGAGAGAGAGGGAGCUUGCUUCCUCAAUCGAGUGGCGAACGGGUGAGUAACGCGUGAGGAACCUGCCUCAAAGAGGGGGACAACAGUUGGAAACGACUGCUAAUACCGCAUAAGCCCACGGCUCGGCAUCGAGCAGAGGGAAAAGGAGCAAUCCGCUUUGAGAUGGCCUCGCGUCCGAUUAGCUAGUUGGUGAGGUAAUGGCCCACCAAGGCGACGAUCGGUAGCCGGACUGAGAGGUUGAACGGCCACAUUGGGACUGAGACACGGCCCAGACUCCUACGGGAGGCAGCAGUGGGGAAUAUUGCACAAUGGGGGAAACCCCGAUGCAGCGACGCCGCGUGGAGGAAGAAGGUCUUCGGAUUGUAAACUCCUGUUGUUGAGGAAGAUAAUGACGGUACUCAACAAGGAAGUGACGGCUAACUACGUGCCAGCAGCCGCGGUAAAACGUAGGUCACAAGCGUUGUCCGGAAUUACUGGGUGUAAAGGGAGCGCAGGCGGGAAGACAAGUUGGAAGUGAAAUCUAUGGGCUCAACCCAUAAACUGCUUUCAAAACUGUUUUUCUUGAGUAGUGCAGAGGUAGGCGGAAUUCCCGGUGUAGCGGUGGAAUGCGUAGAUAUCGGGAGGAACACCAGUGGCGAAGGCGGCCUACUGGGCACCAACUGACGCUGAGGCUCGAAAGUGUGGGUAGCAAACAGGAUUAGAUACCGUGGUAGUCCACACCGUAAACGAUGAUUACUAGGUGUUGGAGGAUUGACCCCUUCAGUGCCGCAGUUAACACAAUAAGUAAUCCACCUGGGGAGUACGACCGCAAGGUUGAAACUCAAAGGAAUUGACGGGGGCCCGCACAAGCAGUGGAGUAUGUGGUUUAAUUCGACGCAACGCGAAGAACCUUACCAAGUCUUGACAUCCCUUGACGAACAUAGAGAUAUGUUUUCUCUUCGGAGCAAGGAGACAGGUGGUGCAUGGUUGUCGUCAGCUCGUGUCGUGAGAUGUUGGGUUAACUCCCGCAACGAGCGCAACCUUUAUUGUCAGAUACUACGCAAGAGGAGUGUCGCAGGACUGCGGUUUCCGAGACGGAGGAAGGUGGCGCAUGAUGUAGGAUGAUGAUUCUGUUUAUUAGGUGAGGAGAGAGACGCAAUAGCAAUUGGGGGUAAGUCACCGUGGACGACGAACUGUUGGGGCGGCUGAAGGAUAUCCCCUCCCCAUGGUCAGUCUUCGAGAGGGAUCGAGUGCUAUCCUAGAGUAAACAAAGCUAUCAUAUAUGCUCCUUGUGGAGAGUGACAUGUUGUGAGGCCCGAAAUCACAGCUUUGGGUACCUGAAGACAAAGAUCCAGUGUUU
rnacentral:rRNA from 1 species